ACAUAAGGGUCGUUGUAGACUACGACGUUGAUAGGCUGCAGGUACACGUGUCGAAAUACACUUAGCUGAGCAGUACUAAUUACCCAACAGCUUGCUCAU
rnacentral:rRNA from 1 species